rnacentral:tRNA from 1 species
AGCGGGAUGGCUGAAGUUUAGGCGAUAAAUUGUAAAUUUAUAAAUGAUUAAAGAUCUCCUGUUA